rnacentral:rRNA from 1 species
GAAAUCAGUUAGUUCUUCGGAACCUGCUACGAGGUGCUGCAUGGUUGUCGUCAGCUCGUGCCGUGAGGUGUCGGCUUAAGUGCCAUAACGAGCGCAACCCCCAUCGACAGUUGCUAACAGAUCAAGCUGAGGACUCUGUCGAGACUGCCGGCGCAAGCUGUGAGGAAGGCGGGGAUGACGUCAAAUCAGCACGGCCCUUACGUCCGGGGCGACACACGUGUUACAAUGGCGGGGACAGCGGGAAGCCACCUGGCGACAGGGAGCGGAACCCGAAACCCCGUCUCAGUUCGGAUUGGAGUCUGCAACCCGACUCCAUGAAGCUGGAUUCGCUAGUAAUCGCGCAUCAGCCACGGCGCGGUGAAUACGUUCCCGGGCCUUGUACACACCGCCCGUCAAGUCAUGGAAGCCGGGAGUGCCUGAAGUUCGUGACCGCAAGGAGCGACCUAGGGUAAAACCGGUGACUGGGGCUAAGUCGUAACAAGGUAGCCGUACCGGAAGGUGCGGC